rnacentral:rRNA from 11 species
GGGUUGUGAGGUUAAGCGACUAAGCGUACACGGUGGAUGCCCUGGCAGUCAGAGGCGAUGAAGGGCGUGCUAAUCUGCGAUAAGCGCCGGUAAGGUGAU